rnacentral:rRNA from 1 species
UACGAAGGGGGCUAGCGUUGUUCGGAAUUACUGGGCGUAAAGGGCGCGUAGGCGGCGUGUCAAGUCAGGCGUGAAAGCCCCCGGGCUCAACCUGGGAACCGCGCUUGAGACUGGCAUGCUCGAGUUCGGGAGAGGAUGGUGGAAUUCCCAGUGUAGAGGUGAAAUUCGUAGAUAUUGGGAAGAACACCGAUGGCGAAGGCAGCCAUCUGGACCGACACUGACGCUGAGGCGCGAAAGCGUGGGGAGCAAACAGG